UACGGGGGGGGGCAAGCGUUGUUCGGAAUUACUGGGCGUAAAGGCUCGUAGGCGGCCAACUAAGUCCGACGUGAAAUCCCCAGGCUUAACCUGGGAACUGCGUCGGAUACUGGAUGGCUUGAAUUCGGGAGAGGGAUGCAGAAUUCCAGGUGUAGCGGUGAAAUGCGUAGAUAUCUGGAGGAAUACCGGUGGCCGAAGGCGGCAAGUCCGUGGACCCGACGACUU
rnacentral:rRNA from 1 species